rnacentral:lncRNA from 1 species
GAAGGUCUGAUGGUUCAUGGUCUGCACAUCUUCUAUAAUAUCAUCCGUUUUGGGAUGGGGUGCGCAGGUAUACUCUAAAUUAAUGGUCUUUGCCAGUGACUGUUUUUCAGGUUUUAGAACGCAGUCAGUUUAGCUAAUAUAUAACACUAAAUUUUCGGAAUUCAGAUGAAUUGAGUGAUUGACCAUGCUGUCUUUAAUCAGAUUCAUUUUCUAUUUUCUGCUAAAGGUUGGGUCUGAAUUGUAAGUAUUUUAUGUCGAAGUGAUGCAAAAAGAUCCAUGGGCAUGUAAUCGACAUUUUUCUUUACCCUAAUUGACAAACACUUUUUGGUUUUUACGGAAUUAAGAAUUUGAUCCAUUCCUGACUUUCUUAUUACAAUAGCAUGAUUUAUGGGUAUAUUUUUCUAUACGAAGUAAAUAUUACAUAAACUAGAGACAAAGCUAUUUUAGGCACAUCUUGGCACACUUUCUUUUUCAAGGAUGUGUAUUUCCCAAGUUCCAUUCUUUGCUAAAUCAAAUUUUAGAAAGAAUAAGGUAUCUAAUACUCUAAUUUCCAGUAAUAAAAUGUUGCUAUCUCCAUUCCCAAAUUACUUUAGCAUUAGUUUUUUCCUAAGAAUAUUAAUUGACAGGAACAUACGAAGGCCUGUGAUUACUUUAGCUUUAUUGGACAUCAUGCAAUAUGUUUUUUUCUUUAUUCAUUUGAGUGUUUAAAUUAUUUCUUUUAUUGGACAUCAUGCAAGCAUUAGUUUUUUCCUAAGAAUAUUAAUUGACAGGAACAUACGAAGGCCUGUGAUUACUUUAGCUUUAUUGGACAUCAUGCAAUAUGUUUUUUUCUUUAUUCAUUUGAGUGCUAAAAUUAUUUCUUAAUUCCUUUCUGGUCAUGUACUACUUGAAACAUGAAGGAUGUCAAUGUGCUUAUGUGAAGUAGUUGGUAGAUGGUCUGGGGCUCUGGGCAGUGUGAGCAGUUAACAGACCAAAUUAGUUCUUUUUCGUUCUUUCCUUUUGGGUCUCUCUGUUCCAUUUCAUGCUCAUAAAUUACAAGUUCCAGUAAAUUUUCAAAUAUUCUUUUAUCUGUUAUGUUUACAUCUGCUCUGUUUAAUAUACAUGUUUAGUUGCAUUCUUGAGUAAUAUACAGGUUUUAUUGCCCAGUUAGCUCUACCUUUCUUGAUUUCCAUGUAAGAAUUGAUCUGACUCUAUAAUCUGUCUGGAAUCAGGAUAACAAGAAUUUUCCUUUGGACAUGGAAGGGUUCUUGGUAUUAAUUGGACAUGUCAAUAGGAUACUGGAGGAUAGAAGUAUUGUAUGCUAAGUGUGGGAUUACUAAACUUGGGUGUGACCACGGGGAAGACAAUAUAUUUUGCUCUAGAGAUAGGAUUUGGAAGAGGGCACUCAGUGUGGGGGUAGACAUAUCUUCCUACAUAGUCUAUUCUAUGAUGACAUGAAUAGUAUUUGAUUUUGUUGUUUACCUUCUACUGCUAAUGCUGUUUAGAAAACCUUAGCGAUGGUAGUCCCUCUAUAGAUGGAAACAUGCAUCCAAUGCUCAAAUCGUAAUUAAGGGAAAGUAGCUUCACUUAACACAACCACAUGUAUUAGUUAAUACUUUUACUUACCAUAAAACCAAGAAGAAAAACAAAAAGAAACCCUCUAUGUAUCAGUAUUUUGUUGCAAACUUCAAAGUAAUCUUCUGUUAUCCUCAUGAUGAGUGCCAACAGCAUAGGCAAUAUGUUUUUGGAGCAUUGCACAUUCAAUGUUCUUUUUUGUGACGUCGGAUAAUGUAGCCUUCUGUUUUUCUAGACCCUCUGCCUCAGACCUCAUUGGUGCCUAUAUCAUCUUUGUUUUAGUACUUAGUUUACAGAACUUUGAUUCCAUGGUUAUAUAAUUACUGAGCUAGAUUUUCUACAUACUAACCAGGAGACAAAUGGCAUUGCCCUGUGUCUGGUAUUCUUAAAUCCUUUAAAAGUAUUGACCUUUCAUUUGUAUUUGAAUUGUUAACUAGCAGUUAAAGAGAUAGCGAUUUUAUUUAUCCUCUUUUUGUAGGUGGAGAAAAUGAAGAAAGGGAAGAUCAACGGAAUGAAGAUCCUCCUUAAGAAGAUUUUUGGUUUAUUGCUGAAACUCUAAAUGUUCUAGGAAUCUUUUGUUAUCAAAUAUUUUUAAACUUCUUUAACUUUUGGAUUGUAAAACUUAUGUACAUGGGUUCUAAUAUUUUGCUUUUACGGAUAUUACAACUUGGAUUCCUUUUUUAGGUGGAGAAAAUGAAGAAAGGGAAGAUCAAUCGAAUGAAGAUCAUCCUUAAGAAGAUUUUUGAAUUAUUGCUGAAACUCUAAAUGUUCUAGGAAUCCUUGUUAUCAAAUAUUUUGAAACUUCUUUAACUUUUGGAUUGUAAAACUUCUGUACUUGGUUGUUAACUUUUGAAUUUUUAAACUUAUGUACAUGGGUUCUAAUAUUUUUCUUUUACCGAUAUUACAACUUGGAUUAUAAAUGUUUAUGAUUAGUUUUAUUUUGUGAUUUAUAUAAAUUAUUAUGUAUUAUAAUAUAAUGUAAAUAUU